AGCGCCUUCCUCGCCCGCUUCCCGCCGCCGCGCGCCCGCCGCCAUUUUGUGAGGGUUCCUCAGGGGGGUGGAGGGCGGCGGGGCUGAGCCCGGGGGCGGCCCCGAGCCUCCAACGGGACCCCCGGAGGCGAACCCGGCUCCUCGGGGCGAGGGGGGAAGCGAAGGAGCCCAGAGGAGGGGAAAACGGAGCCCGGAGCGCGGCGGGAGGGUUGCUGUGGCGUGCGGUUACUGAGCGCUGAAGGUGUGGAAGCCGCCGUGCUGUGGACAGGUGCUGUGAGAGGAGCGGGUCGAUUAAAGGCUGGAUUUAAUCCGCGAAGCGGU